GACGAACGUUGGCGGUGCGCUUAAUGCAUGCAAGUCGAGGGAGAAGGCCCCGAUUCGUAAGAAUCAGGGUUGGAAACCGGCGAACGGGUGCGUAACACGUGAGAAACCUGCCCCGAAGACCGGGAUAGCCCGGGGAAACCCGGAUUAAUACCGGAUACCUUCACGGAGCUGCAUGGCUCCGUGAGGAAAUGGUCCGCCGCUUUGGGAUGGUCUCGCGGCCUAUCAGCUCGUUGGUGAGGUAACGGCUCACCAAGGCUAAGACGGGUAGCUGGUCUGAGAGGACGAUCAGCCACACUGGGACUGAGACACGGCCCAGACUCCUACGGGAGGCAGCAGCAGGGAAUAUUGCACAAUGGGCGAAAGCCUGAUGCAGCGACACCGCGUGCGGGAUGAAGGCCUUCGGGUUGUAAACCGCUUUCAGGAGGGACGAAACUGACGGUACCUCCAGAAGAAGCCCCGGCCAACUACGUG
rnacentral:rRNA from 1 species